rnacentral:rRNA from 1 species
UACGUAGGGUGCAGGCGUUAAUCGGAAUUACUGGGCGUAAAGCGUGCGCAGGCGGUCUGCUAAGAGAGAUGUGAAAUCCCCGGGCUUAACCUGGGAACUGCGUUUCUAACUGGCAGGCUAGAGUGUGGCAGAGGGGGGUGGAAUUCCACGUGUAGCAGUGAAAUGCGUAGAGAUGUGGAGGAACACCGAUGGCGAAGGCAGCCUCCUGGGCCAACACUGACGCUCAUGCACGAAAGCGUGGGGAGCAAACAGG